rnacentral:rRNA from 1 species
CUACGGGAGCUGCAGUGAGGUAUAUUGCACAAUGGGGGGAACCCUGAUGCAGCAACGCCGCGUGGAGGAUGACGCAUUUCGGUGUGUAAACUCCUUUUAUAUGUCAAGAAAAUGACGGUAGCAUAUGAAUAAGCACCGGCUAACUCCGUGCCAGCAGCCGCGGUAAUACGGAGGGUGCAAGCGUUACUCGGAAUCACUGGGCGUAAAGGACGCGUAGGCGGGUUGGAAAGUCAGGUGUGAAAUCCUACAGCUUAACUGUAGAACUGCACUUGAAACUUCUAAUCUAGAGUAUGGGAGGGGGAGAUGGAAUUAGUGGUGUAGGGGUAAAAUCCGUAGAUAUCACUAGGAAUACCUAAAGCGAAGGCGAUCUCCUGGAACAUUACUGACGCUAAGGCGUGAAAGCGUGGGGAGCAAACAGGAUUAGAUACACGAGUAGUC